rnacentral:ncRNA from 1 species
UACCUGGUUGAUCCUGCCAGUAGUCAUAUGCUUGUCUCAAAGAUUAAGCCAUGCAUGUGUAAGUAUGAACUAAUUCAGACUGUGACACUGCGAAUAGCUCAUUAAAUCAGUUAUAGUUUGUUUGAUGGUAUCUGCUACUUGGAUAAUCAUAGUAAUUCUAGAGCUAAUACGUGCAACAAACCCCGACUUCUGGAAAGGAUGCAUUUAUUAGAUAAAAGGUCGAUGCGGGCUCUGCCCGUUGCUCUGAUGAUUCAUGAUAACUCGAUGGAACGCACGGCCUUAGUGCCGGCAACGCGUCAUUCAAAUUUCUGCUCUAUCAACUUUCGACGGUAGGAUAGAGGCCUAUUGUGGUGGUGAUGGGUGACGGAGGAUUAGGGUUCAAUUCCGGAGAGGGAGCCUGAGAAACGGCUACCACAUCCAAGGAAGGUAGCAGGCGCACAAAUUAUCCAAUCCUGACACGGGGAGGUAGUGCCAAUAAAUAACAAUACCGGGGUCUUUGAGUCUGGUCAUUGGAAUGAGUAUAAUCUAAAUCCCUUAACAAGGAUCCAUUGGAGGGCAAGUCUGGUGCCAGCAGCCGCGGUAAUUGCAGCUCGAAUAGCGUAUAUUUAAGUUGUUGCAGUUAAAAAGCUCGUAGAUGGACCUUAGGUUAGGUUGACCGGUCGCCUAGCGAUGUGCACCUGUCAUCUCAUCCUUUCUGCCGACAAUGCGCUCCUAGCCUUAACUGGCUGGGUCGUGUCUCCGGCGCUGUUACUUUGAAGAAAUUAGAGUGCUCAAACCAAGCCUACGCUCUGUAUACAUUAGCAUGGGAUAACAUCAUAGGAUUUCAGUCCUAUUCUUUUGGCCUUCAGGAUCGAAGUAAUGAUUAACAGGGAUAGUCGAGAGCAUUUGUAUUUCAUAGUUAGAGGUAAAAUUCUUGGAUUUAUGAAAGACGAACAACUGCGAAAGCAUUUUCCAAGGAUGUUUUCAUUAAUCAAGAACGAAAUUGGGGGCUCGAAGACGAUCAGAUACCAUCCUAGUCUCAACCAUAAACGACGCUGAUGAUGUGUGUGGAAUACACACAUCUAAAUGGGGUUUUUAAGGCUGAUUUUAUGUACAUUUAGAUAUGAAUUGGUCCCAACACUCAUCCUAUGGGUUUAUUUGUGUGCUUUAGGUCCAAAA